CUAAUGGCUGAGAAGAGGAGUAGUAGCGGAGGUAGAUUCUUGAGAGAGCCGGUGGAUGGUGCGAACCGGUGGAUCGAAACCGCGAACUCGCCUUGGAGCCGCUUCGGUGAACAGCAGUAGUCGAAGCCGUAGUGUCCACGUCACGGACCAAUGAAGACCUGAUGCGUCCUGUGGGCGGUCGGGUGAAGUAGGGUGGUACCACGAAAGCGCUGACGCCUUUCGUCCCUGCA
rnacentral:ncRNA from 1 species